CCCAAAUCACUUAUGAUAUGCCUCGUACACUUAUUAUCAUAACCAAUUGAUAACCAUCAUAUUAAUACUCAUUUAAUCCAUCCACAACUGAAUCAACUGUGAUCAACUGCGAGUUGAUCUGUCAUCAGAAUGUAAGUGAACAAUCAUACUUCUCUUUUUGCGUGUAAUUUGCCAGCAUUUGUCUUUAAUCAGUCAGUGAAUAGGGAUAGUCCAACUAAAGAUGUAGCUCAGAUUUACACUAAAGUAUAUUACAUAUUUUAUGAAACUUGAUUUGCUCCGAGAAAUUCUUUCAUUACUGUGGAUUAAUCAACAUAGAUUUGAAUUAUGUUUUUCUCAUCGUCAAAAGCAUAGAUUUAUGUUGUAUUCCCAGUGAUCUGCAGAUAUGUUUAGUAUUGUUAAGUUUUAUAUUCGUGUUACUAGACCAUCUUAUAAAAGGCAACAGAAAUUUUUAAUUUUUUAUGUAUGUUAUGAGAAUUAUCGUCUCUGGAAUGGAUUUACAGCUUUCUCUGCUCUAUUUUGAGAAUGAUUUGCAACCAUACAAAGUCAUUUCCUCAUGGAAGGUUCUUUCAGUUUUUAGCUGAAGUUUGGGCUCUCUAUUAAUUGUAGUAUUCAAUGGCCGGAAAUGAGUCCUUUGCUGCUAGUAGCAAAGAGAGAUUGCUCGCAUGGGUUGAUAAUGACCUCAUCUAGCGAGCAAGAUCACUGCUGGUACUAUCAAGUUUAGUGAUUCUCCAAAUAAUGGUGCCUAUUAAUUUUCAGGCUUCUCUUUCCUUGUUCAUUAGCAAAAUAAUUAAAUAUCAUCUCAAAAAGAAGUUUCAUCUCAAAGGCGUGCAUUUUAUUCUUCUUGAAAUGUAGAGAAAGGAAAUUGAUACAACCUCUUAGAAGGGAAAAGUUUUGAUGGUCUCUUUGCUCAAAUUAAGAAGAGAAAAGCUGUUGGACAUUUAGUAAACAUUUAUUCCGCCGUUGAAGCAUCAAUGUUGUUCUCAGGUUGAACAUUGCCUUCAUACUUUCAGUGCUUGCUCUACACUAAAUCAGUGGCAGUAUCUUUGGUCAUUUUUUUUCCAUCAUUUGUCCGGCUACUUCCAAUUCUAUUUUUGUAUAAUGAAUUCUAAUUGUAGACUGCUCUCCACUGACACUAUGUUCAACUUCAGCAGCCGAGCAUUAUGUUAUUCUGCGGACAUGCUAUGCACCUAACUAGUUGCAUGCGUGGAACUUUUGGUAGCACUAUUACAAGCUUUAAGUCAACAAAAGCAAGCAAAGUGCAAUUUCCAGCUUUGGAUGGACAGUGUACUUCACUUGCUGCCCUUCAUCCCUGGCGAGGGUGUCAACCCGCCCCACACUUACCCUCGUGCAUCCGAGCUAUUAUUAGUAGUGCUGGGCAGUCUAGAAGUUGGAUUGUUAGAUAGUAGUAACAAGCUCUAUACUUAGACUCUAAAAGUUUGUGUGCAUUAUCAGUACAGUACUGAUUGGAAUAAAUCAGCUACAGUUGUUUCUGCAUUUGGUAGUGCAAAUGCAGGAACCAUUUCACAUCUAACAGCUCUGUUUACUACUUGUGUCGAUGAUCAGAUUCUCGCGAAGUCAUUCAAGUCUGAUCAUAACUGAACAUAUUAUUGACUUUUUAGGAAAGGAUAGAGCAGAUAACUAUCCAAAGUUUUAGAAAAUAAGUAUACUUCCGUUGCCGGGAUUUUGGCAGCAAUUCAGGAAUUUGUUUUCAGCAUUCAUAUGAAAAGAUAUCACCCAGAGCUUAGUUUUGUUUAGUUUUGUAUCUAUGUUAUGAGAAAUAUCGUCUCUAGAAUGGAUUUACAGCUAA